UACAGAGGGGGCGAGCGUUAUUCGGAAUUAUUGGGCGUAAAGGGCGCGUAGGCGGCCUUUCAAGUGACGGGUGAAGUCCCUCGGCUUAACCGAGGAACUGCCUGUCAGACUGGAAGGCUUGAGACCGGGAGAGGUGAGUGGAAUUCCCAGUGUAGCGGUGAAAUGCGUAGAUAUUGGGAGGAACACCAGUGGCGAAGGCGGCUCACUGGACCGGUACUGACGCUGAGGCGCGAAAGCGUGGGGAGCAAACAGG
rnacentral:rRNA from 1 species